rnacentral:rRNA from 1 species
UACUAGAGUAGCACUCGCAUAUCAAUAACGGAGGAAAAGAAACUAACAAGGAUUCCCCUAGUAACGGCGAGUGAAGCGGGAAGAGCUCAAAUUUGAAAUCUUAAAGGGUUUCCCUUUACGAAUUGUAGUUUAAAGAAGUGUUUUCUGUUGGAGUUUCGGUAAAAGUUCUUUGGAAUAGGACAUCAUAGAGGGUGAGAAUCCCGUAUUUGACCGUUACUUUCCAGCUGUGUGAUACACUUUCAAAGAGUCGGAUUGUUUGGGAAUGCAGUCCAAAAUGGGUGGUAAAUUUCAUCUAAAGCUAAAUAUUGGCGAGAGACCGAUAGCGAACAAGUACCGUGAGGGAAAGAUGAAAAGAACUUUGAAAAGAGAGUUAAACAGUACGUGAAAUUGUCAAAAGGGAAGCGUUUGACACCAGUGUUGUUUAGUUGAAAAUCAAUUCAAUAAUUUUUGAUUUUGAGUAGUAUUGACUUCAUCAGCUUGCUGCUUUCUUUUCGGAAAUUAUUGAAUGCACUUUUCAGUUAACAAGUCAACAUCAAUUUCUUUUGUUGUAAAAGGGUAAGAGGAAGGUGGCUUACGCUUCGGCGUAAGUGUUUAUAGCCUUUUACCUCUGCAAUCGGAGAGAUUGAGGACAGCAGCGUAGACUCUUCGGGGUUAGAUACACUUGUGCUAAGCUAUAGCCUUGUAUAGACAACUUGUUGACUAUGCUCAGUCAUGUAGCCUACUCGCUUGUGCUAUUUUACCUACGCUUAGGAUGUUGAAGAUAUGCGCGACACG